GUGUGUGUGAGUGUGUGUGUGUGUGUGUGUGUGUGUGUGGUGUGUGAGUGUGUGUGUGUGUGUGUGUGUGAGUGUGUGGAGGGGGGGUGAGUGUGGGCCUCAACAGUGACUUUGAUCCACAGCUUUCUUUUGGUCCGCAUAUGGCCAGUCUGCUGACUCCCUGCUGGAGGUGUUUUUGUAAGUGAAGUGACUGUGGGUUGUUGGUGGCGGGGCCGUGUGAGUGGUAAGGGUACGAGUAGGGGUAGGUGUAGGGUAUGAGUAGGGGUAGGUGUAGGGUAUGAGUAGGGGUAGGUGUAGGGUAUGAGUAGGGGUAGGUGUAGGGUAUGAGUAGGGGUAGGUGUAGGGUAUGAGUAGGGGUAGAUGUAGGGUACGAGUAGGGGUAGAUGUAGGGUAUGAGUAGGGGCAGGGGUAGGGUACGAGUAGGGGUAGGUGUAGGGUACGAGUAGGGGUAGGUGUAGGGUAUG
ensembl:lncRNA